rnacentral:rRNA from 1 species
UACGAAGGGGGCUAGCGUUGCUCGGAAUCACUGGGCGUAAAGGGUGCGUAGGCGGGUCUUUAAGUCAGGGGUGAAAUCCUGGAGCUCAACUCCAGAACUGCCUCCGAAACUGGCGAUCUUGAGUUCGGGAGAGGUGAGUGGAAUUGCGAGUGUAGAGGUGAAAUUCGUAGAUAUUCGCAAGAACACCAGUGGCGAAGGCGAUUACCUGGCCUGUUCUUGACGCUGAGGCGCGAAAGCUAGGGGAGCAAACGGG